rnacentral:rRNA from 1 species
GAGUGAAAAAGAACCUGAAACCGUGUACGUACAAGCAGUGGGAGCACAGGUUUACCUGUGUGACUGCGUACCUUUUGUAUAAUGGGUCAGCGACUUAUAUUCUGUAGCAAGGUUAACCGUAUAGGGGAGCCGGAGGGAAACCGAGUCUUAACCGGGCGUUAAGUUGCAGGGUAUAGACCCGAAACCCGGUGAUCUAGCCAUGGGCAGGUUGAAGGUUGGGUAACACUAACUGGAGGACCGAACCGACUAAUGUUGAAAAAUUAGCGGAUGACCUGUGGCUGGGGGUGAAAGGCCAAUCAAACCGGGAGAUAGCUGGUUCUCCCCGAAAGCUAUUUAGGUAGCGCCUCGUGAAUUCAUCUCCGGGGGUAGAGCACUGUUUCGGCUAGGGGGCCAUCCCGGCUUACCAACCCGAUGCAAACUGCGAAUACCGGAGAAUGUUAUCACGGGAGACACACGGCGGGUGCUAACGUCCGUCGUGAAGAGGGAAACAACCCAGACCGCCAGCUAAGGUCCCAAAGUCAUGGUUAAGUGGGAAACGAUGUGGGAAGGCCCAGACAGCCAGGAUGUUGGCUUAGAAGCAGCCAUCAUUUAAAGAAAGCGUAAUAGCUCACUGGUCGAGUCGGCCUGCGCGGAAGAUGUAACGGGGCUAAACCAUGCACCGAAGCUGCGGCAGCGACACUCAGGUGUUGUUGGGUAGGGGAGCGUUCUGUAAGCCUGUGAAGGUGUGUCGUGAGGCAUGCUGGAGGUAUCAGAAGUGCGAAUGCUGACAUAAGUAACGAUAAAGCGGGUGAAAAGCCCGCUCGCCGGAAGACCAAGGGUUCCUGUCCAACGUUAAUCGGGGCAGGGUGAGUCGACCCCUAAGGCGAGGCCGAAAGGCGUAGUCGAUGGGAAACGGGUUAAUAUUCCCGUACUUGGUGUUACUGCGAAGGGGGGACGGAGAAGGCUAUGUUGGCCGGGCGACGGUUGUCCCGGUUUAAGCGUGUAGGUGUGUGUUCCAGGUAAAUCCGGUUCACUUUAACACUGAGGCGUGACGACGAGGCACUACGGUGCUGAAGCAACAAAUGCCCUGCUUCCAGGAAAAGCCUCUAAGCAUCAGGUAACAUCAAAUCGUACCCCAAACCGACACAGGUGGUCAGGUAGAGAAUACCAAGGCGCUUGAGAGAACUCGGGUGAAGGAACUAGGCAAAAUGGUGCCGUAACUUCGGGAGAAGGCACGCUGACACGUAGGUGAAGUGAUUUACUCAUGGAGCUGAAGUCAGUCGAAGAUACCAGCUGGCUGCAACUGUUUAUUAAAAACACAGCACUGUGCAAACACGAAAGUGGACGUAUACGGUGUGACGCCUGCCCGGUGCCGGAAGGUUAAUUGAUGGGGUCAGCGCAAGCGAAGCUCCUGAUCGAAGCCCCGGUAAACGGCGGCCGUAACUAUAACGGUCCUAAGGUAGCGAAAUUCCUUGUCGGGUAAGUUCCGACCUGCACGAAUGGCGUAAUGAUGGCCAGGCUGUCUCCACCCGAGACUCAGUGAAAUUGAACUCGCUGUGAAGAUGCAGUGUACCCGCGGCAAGACGGAAAGACCCCGUGAACCUUUACUAUAGCUUGACACUGAACAUUGAGCCUUGAUGUGUAGGAUAGGUGGGAGGCUUUGAAGCGUGGACGCCAGUCUGCGUGGAGCCGACCUUGAAAUACCACCCUUUAAUGUUUGAUGUUCUAACGUGGACCCGUAAUCCGGGUUGCGGACAGUGUCUGGUGGGUAGUUUGACUGGGGCGGUCUCCUCCUAAAGAGUAACGGAGGAGCACGAAGGUUGGCUAAUCCUGGUCGGACAUCAGGAGGUUAGUGCAAUGGCAUAAGCCAGCUUGACUGCGAGCGUGACGGCGCGAGCAGGUGCGAAAGCAGGUCAUAGUGAUCCGGUGGUUCUGAAUGGAAGGGCCAUCGCUCAACGGAUAAAAGGUACUCCGGGGAUAACAGGCUGAUACCGCCCAAGAGUUCAUAUCGACGGCGGUGUUUGGCACCUCGAUGUCGGCUCAUCACAUCCUGGGGCUGAAGUAGGUCCCAAGGGUAUGGCUGUUCGCCAUUUAAAGUGGUACGCGAGCUGGGUUUAGAACGUCGUGAGACAGUUCGGUCCCUAUCUGCCGUGGGCGCUGGAGAACUGAGGGGGGCUGCUCCUAGUACGAGAGGACCGGAGUGGACGCAUCACUGGUGUUCGGGUUGUCAUGCCAAUGGCACUGCCCGGUAGCUAAAUGCGGAAGAGAUAAGUGCUGAAAGCAUCUAAGCACGAAACUUGCCCCGAGAUGAGUUCUCCCUGAGACUUAGAGUCUCCUGAAGGAACGUUGAAGACGACGACGUUGAUAGGCCGGGUGUGUAAGCGCAGCGAUGCGUUGAGCUAACCGGUACUAAUGAACCGUGAGGCUUA